CGUAGGGGGCCAGCGUUGUCCGGAUUCAUUGGGCGUAAAGCGCGUGUAGGCGGCCGUGCAGGUCCGGUGUGAAAACUCGAGGCUCAACCUCGAGAGGUCAUCGGAAACCGCACGGCUAGAGUCCGGAAGAGGAGAGUGGAAUUCCUGGUGUAGCGGUGAAAUGCGCAGAUAUCAGGAAGAACACCUAUGGCGAAGGCAGCUCUCUGGGACGGUACUGACGCUGAGACGCGAAAGCGUGGGGAGCGAACAGGAUUAGAUACCCUGGUAGUCCACGCCGUAAACGAUGGGUGCUAGGUGUGGGUGGUGUCGACUCCAUCCGUGCCGAAGCUAACGCAUUAAGCACCCCGCCUGGGGAGUACGGCCGCAAGGCUA
rnacentral:rRNA from 1 species